rnacentral:lncRNA from 1 species
GGUGAGGAAAUGGCUGAGCUCCAGGAAAUAUGAAACUUCCACGGGUAUACCUCACAUAUUUCACAGAAAGGGAUAGUCCAUCAGCCAACUUCAGGAGAGGACGAAUGGAAAGAAGCAGUUUUGUAGUCCCGCAAGUUUUGAUGAUAAUUUUGUAUGGGUACACGAAGAGGCUUGACUCUGAAAGAACAUAUGAGUCAACAUGACCAUUUGACAGCGAAGAAACAAUGGUGCAUUCAGCUGGUUUCAAAAUCUCAUCCAACUGAGCUUUAGUUAAAGAGCGGAGACCCAUUCCUCCGGGAUCAGCAAAGAUGCCUGGCUCGAGAAAGCCAAUUUCAAGCCUCUUUUCAUAGCCUUCAAAUCCAAUUGCAGAGACUGGCAAGUCCAUCUUGCCUUGCAGGAGACAGACAAUUUAGCAGAGAGGGAUCAAGGGAUCAAGGGGAAUGAGGGAUCAAAGGGAGUAGGAGAAAAGCAGAGAAUAGAGAAGAUUGCAAAACGAAA